rnacentral:lncRNA from 12 species
UGCAUGCAUGCACAAGUUAAGGUCGUCCUUUGGUGGUUUUCAUGGUAUUGAUCUCAACGAGCUUAAUUUGUCCCAAAGGUAUUUACUGUGUUGCCACCCUUGUGACUAGGGCUGAAAAUGCAUUUCUGCUGCUGUCUGUGGACCCCUGAGCCAGCUGCUCCUCUUGAUGGAUUGACUAAUGGGAAAUCCCUCAUCACUUACUGUGUCAAAGCAAA